rnacentral:rRNA from 1 species
AACGAACGCUGGCGGCAUGCCUAACACAUGCAAGUCGAACGAGACCUUCGGGUCUAGUGGCGCACGGGUGCGUAACGCGUGGGAACCUGCCCUUAGGUUCGGAAUAACUCCCCGAAAGGGGUGCUAAUACCGGAUAAUGUCUUCGGACCAAAGAUUUAUCGCCUUUGGAUGGGCCCGCGUUUGAUUAGCUAGUUGGUAGGGUAAAAGCCUAACAAGGCGACGAUCCAUAGCUGGUCUGAGAGGAUGAUCAGCCACACUGGGACUGAGACACGGACCAGACUCCUACGGGAGGCAGCAGUGGGGAAUAUUGGACAAUGGGCGAAAGCCUGAUCCAGCAAUGCCGCGUGAGUGAUGAAGGCCUUAGGGUUGUAAAGCUCUUUGACCCGGGAUGAUAAUGACAGUACCGGGAGAAUAAGCUCCGGCUAACUCCGUG